GUUCAUCCCUCUCCGGGGCAGGCAGGAGCCCAGGACUGCAGGCUCGGGGCUGGAGGACCCAGCAGGGACAGCCCCGAGGGCAGGGCAGACAGCCCUCCCCCACUGGCCCAGCUGCUGCUCCUGCCAAACAGGUCUGUGGGGCUGUCACGUGUCCGGCUGGCGCUGACUCGGGCUCUGGCGGAUUAAGCAGGGGCUCAGGGCUCAGGACCCGCACUGGCCCGGGGGAGGGCUGAGGGAGCUUGUCGCCGUGGGCCACAGAGGAGGACUCCCGAGGCCAGCGAGGCCCCAGCCAGGGCACUGGGACAAGACAUACUGGGGAUCGAAGCCAGGACCUCAUGCAUGGUAAGCAUGCACUCUACCACUGAGCUACAGCCACUCCCCAAGUUCACCCAUUUGACUGAGGCUCAGGGAGGGGCUGUGGUCCAGCCAGGGCCCGGACAGGGAGGAUGGCCCCCAGCAUCUCAGCAGCCUGCCUCCUGGAUCCCAGAAGUUGCAGGCCCUGCUCAACCCCUGCCUGAAGGCACAGACCCUCCGGCGCAGAGCUUCGCCUGGGGCCUCUCUGAGAACUCUAGGUCCCUGGGGGAAGUCAGGGCCAGGAGCACCACCCAGUGCCGUGGGGUCCAGCUCACCCACGGCUGGUGGCUAGGACUCCGGCUCUGUCUCCUUGUUUGUGCCGUGGGGGUGACAGUAAUAGACCCCACCUCUCCUGGUGACUCUGAAAGGCCACCGUUGGGAGGAGGGUGUAGCUCAGUGGUAGGGUGCAUGCCUAGCAUGCAUGAGGUCCUGUGUUCAAUCCCCAGUACCGCCAUUAAAUAAACAAACAAAUAAACCUAAUUCCCCUAACCCCCCCCCAAAAAAACUUAAAAAAAAAGAAAAGAAAGAAAGGCCACUGUGCAUUUAAGGGCUUCCAAACACCGCCACCCCCAGCAGGCACUGGGGGACUUAGCUUCUGUUUUUACAGGGAAGGUCAGACCUGAGCUCUCCAUGUCCUCUGAAAUUCUGAGCUCCUGUCUGUUUUCCCUGGGCCUUUUGUGUGUGUGUUUAUUCCUAUGGGUUUAAUAUUUGCUUGGAAGUACGGGCAGGUGGGAAACGGGUUCAGCAGGAUAACAGCAGACGAUGCAAACAGCAUCUGCCCCUGCCCCCUCCCCAGAGCAGACAUGAAAAGCACGGGGUGGGUAUCUGGUCAGAAAUGUUCCUCCGAGUCUAUUUGUUCCCCGCGCCGUAUUUUAAAGAGAACAGGCGGCAGCUGGCUCUGCCCCCAUCCUGUGACUUGCCUCUGGGCCUUUAAAUGCGCCCACUCCGUUGGAGAGCCUGCUGGCCGCCUCCCUCCAGCAGGCGGGCAUGUUCACGGAUGCUGGCACCAGAUUGUCCUCGUCAGCAGGACUCGAGGGAGGCUGCAGCCUGGCACGGGGCAAACAGGGGACUGUUGAGUAGCAAAGAACGGUCCCUCUGUGCCCAGGGAAGGCCCCAGUUGGAGAGCAGCUCCCCCUCCUCCCCACUCCAGCAGAUCUGGGGCUGGAGCAAGGGUGGAGCCUGGGGACCUGGCCGAGGCCCAGCCUGGCUGCCAGCUGUCCACUGGGUGACCUUGAGCUGGCUCUGGGCCCCUGCCUCAGUGCAGAAGCCCGGGGCACGUGGUGGCCUCAGCGAGGGGACUGAGGGUCUGUCUUCUAAGACCCGACAAGGCAGCCCUCAGCCAUCGCGCCUGGGUGAAAGGCCGGUCUCUGGGCUGGAGUUUUCACUGCCUCCCUGUUAAGCUUUGCCAUUGCUCCGCGAGGCAGCCGAAGUCAGUGCUAAGUCUGCUGACAUGUUCUCUGUGGGCUUUGUGACUCCUGGACCCGCUGGUGUCUUAUCUCUGCUGUGUAAAUCUCCCAGCGGGCUGGGCAGGGCUCUGUCCUUCCUGGCGUCUGAGAAAAGAAGGCAGCAGGUGGCUACAUGCAGCAACAUACCCUGCAUGCCUGACUACGAGGCCUCAUCAGAAGGGCUCCUGCCCCCUUGAAGGAAGAGUAGGGUCCACCUACUCUUGGUGUCAGGAGGGUGGCUGGGACCAUGUCAGGAGGGUGGCUGGGACGGUGGAUCACAGUUACCCAGUGGGGCAGAGCUCCAGGCACUGCCAGGGUGCAGAUGUUCAGGUUGUACACUGCACAAGAGCAGUUGGCAAAGGAAGAAUGCACUCUUGCCAACCCGCAGGCCUGAGAGGCAGCAUCCACCAGAAGAGGGCACCUUUUACAAAUUCGCACACGGGCCCUGCGUGCUCACUGGCAAAGGAGCAGUGCCUGGGUGUGGGGUCUCCUCUCUACUUACGUGGCCUUCCUCUGCUGAGUUUUCUAGAAUCUCCCUCCAGGACUCUGCUGGUAACCCCAGGGGAAAGUGAGUGCCCAACUCCAGACACCCUUUGUCUGCGUGAGCAGCUUGAACAGACCCAGCCUGGUGAAUCCUCAGAGGAAACCGGGCCGUGUUGCAAAGCAGACCUGGGUCGGUCCACAUCUCCACUCUAGCUACUGCUGGUCAGGACAUCUCAGCACACCCUCCACUUUAGCAUCUGUUAAUAUCCCUGCUAAACCUCAAGGGUGAAGGACCCUUACCCCUGUGUCCAGCCCCUUGAGCAGGGCCACUUUAUUUGUGAAGGUAUGUCGAUUUUGGGACAGGGACUUAUGUAAACUAGACAUUCAUUUCAUCCACAAAUAUUUUUCGAGCACGUGGUCUAUGCCCGGCACUGUGCUGGGGCUGGAAAUAAGCAGAAAUAAACACAGACAUGAUGUUUACCCUCCCAGAGCUGCCCAGUGAAGGAGAGAACACUCUGGUGAACAGCAUCGACCAGGGGCAGGGAGGAGUUGCUCAGUCGGGCCUGUGAGGAGGUUAGGGAAGGCUGCCCUGAAGGAGCCCAGCAUGAAGGUGGAGUUGGGAUAAGCAGGUGAAAAGAGAGAGACGUAAGCACCAGGCAGGGGGGGAACAGCAUGUGCAAAGGCCCAGGGGCAGGAGCCAAUUUGCUGGGUAUGAGGCUCGAGCCAAGUGGAAAGAGCAGAGGUAGGCAGAGUCCAAAUCCACAGGGGCUUUUGGGCGUGGCAAGGAGUUUGGUGCUUAUUUCUUAAGGAGUGAGGAGCCAGGGUUUGAAGCAGGCCAGUGACUUGUUAGAUUGAAGUAUCAGUGAAAUUGGGUUUGAGUCCAGGCUGCGCUCCCUGACUGAGCUGCACUCCCGAUGUCUGACAAGGAGGGUCGAGGUGGAGGGUGUCUUAGGUUGUGCAGGAAGGACGGCGGAGAUUUGAAUGAGGAAGCUUAGGGUGGGGCCCAGAGUCUGUUUGAGCUGCCCCUCUGGGCACCUGCCUGGAGACUGGGGCACCACCCCAUGUGGUCAGCUUGGGGCUGGGAAGGCUAGGCUGCAGUUCUCCAGCUGGGCAGCAGGUGGAGCCAGCCCCUCAAAGGUGGCAGGUAGGCUGGCCCAGCAGGGACCAGCACAGUGACAGGUGGGGCUGGGGACGUCUCUGGUCCCGGCCAGGGCAGGUCCGCGCUUCCCCUUGCUCUCACCUGCAGCCCGAGUGGUGCCCAGACUGCUGGUUCGGUGGCUUCAGCCUGCAGUUGCCAAAACCCUGUCUUUCAUCUGCUCCGAGGACCAUACAUCAGCUGUGCCCUGAGCUGCCAUUUUAAGCUGAUCUAAAUUUGCCACCGAGCCCGACCUGGGGACAGCUGGGUGAAACCAUCCACUGCAGGGGAGUGCUGGGGUCCAGAUCUCUGCUCUGCAGGCUCAGCCAGUGGAAUGCAGUUAAUGGAACGUCCGCUCACAGGGUGGGCGGACGUCAGCACACAGUGAGUGCCCAACGAUUGCUGUCUCAGCCAGGGCCAGGCACCCAGGAGGCCUGCAGAGCCUGGAAGUGCCUUUCCUGAACCGCCCCUGCACCUGGCACGGGGGCCAGAAGCACAGGGGAGCCAACAUGAGUUGAAUAGGGAAGUGCCCUUCCGACCAGAGGCUGUGUGCUAGAGCGGACGCUCACGCUUCGGGUGUCGUAGGUAUGAAGUCUCAUCUCGGCGUCUGGUGGGCGAUCUUGCCUCUUGGACAGGUGGUUUGGUCCUUCUGAUCCCUGUUCCUCUUGUGAGAUGUGGACGGUGCCCUCCCUGUGGCUGGGAGGGUUGCAGACACCCCGCGUGAGCCCCUUGGAGCACCCAGCACGGAAUCUGUGCUCGGGACACUGCCACUCGGGAUACACCAGGCCGUCCCUUCCACGAACUGCAGGCGGUCACCGGGGGAGGCUGGGGCAGGAGCUAGAGCCUCGAGGGCAAGCAGCCUGCAGCAGGCUGGCCAACGGACGCGAGAGGGAAUUUCCUAGAAGGCAGCAUCUUCUCCAGCCUGUCCAGGGAGGGUGGGAAGCAGGCCAGUAACAGGGCCCCUCCUGAGGGCGGGAGGCAGGUUCCUCCAGGACUGACCCCGGAAGGGGUGCCCACUUCUCCCUACAUGGGUGCCCGCAGACAAGUUCCCGUGAGAGGCCCACCGGGUGCAGCUUUCCCCCGGAAGGAGGGAUCCUGAAAGAGGACGUGGCCUCGAGGAGACCCCCCAGGCGCCAGCCCACACCCCCGCCCCCGCUGCUGCCUGUCCGCGCUGGCCUGGGUGUGGGUCACCCUCACCCGGGGUAAUGAUUACUGCCCAGUCGCCGACAUGGAACAAAUGUUGUGUGCUUGUAAUUACAAAUUUCGUUUCUGACACUCCAGGGGUUUGCAAAGCUUGGCAUCUGUGCUGUUAACACAUAAAUUACAGUCAUUUAUGGAAGUUGCCAGAGAGACCAGAAUUCUGACGCUGUGUGAGAGACGUGCAGUGAGGAGGCACUCCAGGAGCCAGGGGUGGCCCAGUGUGGGCCUCGAGCUUUGCUCGUAUUUCACGGGGUCAGAUUCCCUUACCCACCCUAGACCGCACACGUGGGCCUGCAGGCUGGAAUCCCAGUCUUGACGCCACUUGCUUGGGUCUUGGUUUCCCGAUGGACUAAGUAACCGGACUUGAUGACUGAUUCCGUGCAUCAGGGUAUGUCUGGCUGCAGGCACCUGCCUCCAGGCACAAGGUGCUCCCUGGGGGCCUGUCCUCCUGUCUUCAUGACGCAAGCAGCCUUUGUUCCCAAGAGGAGGGGACCAGGGCCUUGGAGGCCCGGCUCUGGCCCCCGGGGUCCCAGGCAGCCCUCCGCAGCCUCAGAGGGCUGGGAAGUCAUCACGUGCUUCAGGUGUUGCUUCUUGCUGCAGAAAGUGCGUUCUCAGAUCCGUUACCCUCCAAGCAGGGAUUCUGGAAGUGUGAGACUCAGGCCGCCGGUGGGCCUGGAAGGCUUCCGGGUGACCCCGGGUGCUGCGCGCAGUGACACGGACUGGGGAGAAAGUUGUUCCCCGCCCAGUGCACCUCCAGCCCCUGAGAGUCCAUCGAGUCCCAUGUUCCGGUCAGCGCUGGUAUCUCUUAACGCCUCUUUACCACUCAGAAAAGGCGUAAUUAAAUUCCAGGAUUUUA